GACGAACGCUGGCGGCGUGCUUAACACAUGCAAGUCGAACGGAAAGGCCCUGCUUUUGUGGGGUGCUCGAGUGGCGAACGGGUGAGUAACACGUGAGUAACCUGCCCUUGACUUUGGGAUAACUUCGGGAAACUGGGGCUAAUACCGGAUAGGAGCUCCUGCUGCAUGGUGGGGGUUGGAAAGUUUCGGCGGUUUGGGAUGGACUAGCGGCUUAUCAGCUUGUUGGUGGGGUAGUGGCUUACCAAGGCUUUGAAGGGUAGCCGGCCUGAGAGGGGGACCGGGCACAAGGGUACUGAGAGACGGCCCAGACUCCUACGGGAGGCAGCAGGCGAGAAUAUUGCGCAAUAGGCGGAAGUCUGAUGCAGCAACGCCGCGUGCGGGAUGAUGGCUUACGGGUGGUGAACCGCUUUCGCCGGAGACGAAGCGGGAGUGACGGUAAUGGGUAAGGAAGCACCGGCUAACUACGUG
rnacentral:rRNA from 1 species